rnacentral:rRNA from 1 species
GACGAACGCUGGCGGCGUGCUUAACACAUGCAAGUCGAACGGAAAGGCCCUGCUUUUGUGGGGUGCUCGAGUGGCGAACGGGUGAGUAACACGUGAGUAACCUGCCCUUGACUUUGGGAUAACUUCAGGAAACUGGGGCUAAUACUGGGUAGGAGCUCCUGCUGCAUGGUGGGGGUUGGAAAGUUUCGGCGGUUGGGGAUGGACUCGCGGCUUAUCAGCUUGUUGGUGGGGUAGUGGCUUACCAAGGCUUUGACGGGUAGCCGGCCUGAGAGGGUGACCGGCCACAUUGGGACUGAGAUACGGCCCAGACUCCUACGGGAGGCAGCAGUGGGGAAUAUUGCACAAUGGGCGGAAGCCUGAUGCAGCAACGCCGCGUGCGGGAUGACGGCCUUCGGGUUGUAAACCGCUUUCGCCUGUGACGAAGCGUGAGUGACGGUAAUGGGUAAAGAAGCACCGGCUAACUACGUG